GGUGGGAGCAGGACACUGCCAGAGAGACAGUUGUCAGCCACACAGAUGAAGUUUGCAUGGAAUGAAUGCACCGCCAUUCAGUCUCCUCUUGGAAGCUAAGUGAUUUAAACUUGGCUAGCAGGCAAGGAAUAAAAUGUGACAGUGAACUUUAUAUUUACAGCGAUGCUGUAAAUGAUCAACGAUCCAUUGUGAAGCGUCUGCACGCGGGACGAGCGCUGCAGGGGUUUUCCAUUUCGGAGCCAGCGGAGGACGGGGCUGGGGUCUCCGUGGACCGGACAGUCGAGCACGGCGGCGCCACCUUGAAUGACCGUUUGAGACAUGUGGGCUUCACCCUUCAGCACAGGAGGCUCUGAGAAAAGCAGACAGUAUCAAGUUGAUACAGAGCAAUCCUCUUUUCAGUCACAGCUUCCACUAAUCGGUGAAAGUUCACCUCGAAUGCGGACAAAGGAGAGCGCUCGGAUGGAGCCUACGCUGUUUUCCGCGACACACACAUACGUCCCAGCAUCGCUCACGGUAACGUUGUCGAUUAUGACGGUGUUCCUGCCCGCUUCGUCGACAGAGGCGCCUACAAAAUGGGAUUGAGCAAAAAUAAUUCUUGGACACGUUCAAGUGGUAAAGAGGUCUUGGCUGCAGUGGAAACACAAACAUUGUUAGACUUAGUUUUGCUGUACAUGUAUUUGGAAAGCUACUUCAAUUUGUACUGUGGUAUUCCGCUAGCACUGAGAACUUUACAGCAACACCACUGAAAGUAAACGAUACCUCGGUAAGGUAUGUUGUUGACAGUCCAGGAGAUGACAGGAGGAGGUGUUCCCUGAGCGUGGCAGGACAAGGCCAGGUCCUGUCCUUUAUUCAAGGUGACGUCACCAGGUAGCUCUUUAAAGGCAGGCCUCAUGUUGACGGACAGGUGAAUAUUCUGUCUUGCGGAGCCUGCUGCAUUGGUGGCUACGCAUGUGAACUUUCCAGCAUCUCCUGGCUAUGUAAAAGCAGAUUAGAGUCAUUGGUCGAUCCAGAGUCGAUGCCGCUCGGGUUCCCACGCUCACCUCGGCCCUCUCGAUAAUCAGCUCUCCGGAUCGUAGGGCCGUGAAUUUGCCCGGAAGGUGGAGCAAAAGCGCACCAUCCUUUUCCCAUGAUACUUUGGGAUCUGGUGAACCCUGAGCAGCACAAGGUAACAAGGCCUGGAAUCCUUGAAUGACUGACAUUUCCGUUUGCCCAGGAGGAAUCAUGGGGGGAACUGAAACACAAAGACGAGACAACUCUGAUUUCCCAAACUCUGGUAGGCUUUCAUUCCCACCUAUCCGAUCUUUCAUUUGAUCAUGUCAAAGUUAUUUCCUGUAUAAGGCAUCUCUCCUCACUCAGACCGGAACAAUCCUAACCUAUGGAGAUGCUUUGUCUAUGGGUUUGGACUGACAGUUUAGUAUAUGCAUCCUGCCUUUCCAAAAAUAUACACUAAUGGCUUCAUAUUUUUUUUAAGUUUUACAGUAGCCUAACAUUUCUUCACAUCUCAUUCCCGCAGAAGAGCGUUUGAAUUCCCGUCUUGCCAUAUCCUUGAAACCCAGCAUUUUCUUUACAGAGCCCAACUUGAAUUGUCACUCUUGAACAGUUCUUGCCGUUUCUCUGCAGUUGUGAUCAACAUACACAGCGUAGUGUAUAAGAGCCGUAACUCACUUUGAAGAACCAGUCUGAUAUCAUGGCUGGUUCUGCCAGCAAGGUUCUUGGCGGUACACGUGUACGUCCCUGCAUCACUGCGCUGGGUAGAAGUGAUCACCAGUGUACCGUUUGCAUAUAUAUGAAUAUGAGCACUGUCAACUAUAGGCCUCCUGUCUUUGUGCCAAGUAACUUCUGGUUGGGGUUGACCAUCCGCCGCACACUCCAGACCGACCGGUUGGCCCAGCACAGCUGUGUACUCCACACGGGGCACACUCAGCACGGGUGGAACUGAGGAAACACACCAGUUGUGCGAUUAGAAUGUCAUACAAUUUGAAUACAAGUGAUAAGGUAUGUGUGAGAGCUAUGGUAUACCUUGCAGGACGAGUUUGGUUCUUCCUACAGCCACACCAGCUUCAUUUUUGGCCAGGCACUGGUACAUCCCUGCAUCUCCAAGAGUAACACGAGCAAACUUAAGGGCGCCGUUUGAGAGCACAGCCAGCCUGUGACCUGUAAAACCGGUGAAAGCAUUUUUAGAAUCAUCUUGUUGGACACUUUUCUGAGAAUUUAUAACGUGCUGUUGUUACCAGCUGCAAUGGGAACGCCUUCUCUUUGCCAGGUGAUGGACGGUCGAGGAAAUCCUUGAACCUCACAGGGUAGAAUGGUCCCGUGAUGUAACACCACUUGCACUUCCUCUGCCAUUGGCCUGAUCUCGGGAGACUCUACCGCAUCAAUGUACAGUCAAAUUAUGUUUCAACUUGUUUAUGUGAUGCAUUUUUGGAUCCAAUACACUAAAUGGGUGCCCACCUUGGACCGUGAGUGAGAUGUGUUUGUGAGCCACUCCGGCCGCGUUACGAGCUGAGCAAGUGUACCUCCCGGCGUGGCGCGGUAGCACGGCGGUUAUCUGCAACACCCCUGCAUCGAGUAUUGUCGUAGUAAGUUUAUGCAGUUGUCAUAUAGAAACAGAGGUGAGUAGUCACGCACUACAUUUACGCCGUUACACUUAGUGAAGAAACUUUUUGGAUAAAUUGUAAUUGUCAGAGUAUUUUCAAUGCAACACAUCUUUUACUUUUACCGAGUAGUUUUCCAUCCAUCCAUUUUCUGUAGUGCUUAUCCUCACGCGGGUGGCGGGCGUGCUGGAGCCUAUGCCAGCUAUCUUCGGGCGAGAGGCGGGCUACGCCCUGAACUGGUCGCCAGCCAAUCGCAUAGGAAGGAUGCCAUAGCUUCCUCCUCGAGAUCCCAGCUUGGCUCCACCUUUUGUCCAGGCGACGGUCGGCUGAGGCCGCCCUUUAACAUGACAAGGCAACUCCACAGGAGAUCGACUCACAGCCGUCACUGUUGUGACGUCGUCUUCAAUAGUCGGCGGGACUACAAGAGCAAAGAACGAGUUGCUGGCUCCCAUCAAGAGGAGAGCCAUUCCUUUUCCAAGAUACUUUAGGAAGAGGUAUGCCUGUCGUCUCACAGCUCAGGACAGCUCUGAUGCCUGCGGUUACUGUCAUGUUGAACGGGCCUGGACUAAUUGAAGGACGCACUAGGAGGACAGAGAGCAGACUCCAACAUGUUGACCACAAUCACCAGAUUGAGAGUUGAGAGUUUCCACUUUUGCUGUAUUUACCAAACACUCGGAGAUCGAUUCCCCGGUGGUCUGAGCCGGCCCGGUUUGAUACGGUGCAGUGGAAGCGACCAGCAUCGCUCAGCUGAACCUGGUGCACACGUAAGGAGCCUUCUGCUAGCACGGUGUACCUGAAAUAUGCCGCAUGCUGAGCCAUCUUCAUAAAAUACAUCCAAUGGGAUUUGAAUUCCAUCCAUAAACGUACCGGUAGAUGUGUAUGAUGCGAUUCUAUUUGUAUUAUGUAUCGAUCGUAAUGUUGUUUGAAAAUGCUUCAGUGUCUGCUUGAAGUUUUGAUCGUUUGUGAUUUUAGUUCAACUUCA